AUUUAUUUGAGUUAGAACUAGUGUUCGAAUGGAGUAGCGGGAAUGGAGUAGCUAGAGAAGUGUAGAUCUCCCGCACUAAAAUCACUAUUAACUUUUGGUGUCUUUAAAAUCAGUUUAAGCAGGAGAUCUGCAUUCAGUUCAAUAUUUUUUUUUUUUUUUUUUGUAAAAAAGCAUGCAGAUCUCAUCUGCUAACAAAUGGUAUGCAGAUCAGAAAAACGUAGAUCAAAUAGAAAAUGCAUAUCAAGCAGAACAAAUGCAGAUCAAGCCGAUAAUGCACAUCAGACAAAUUAUUUUAAAUAAAUAUAUAAUUAUUUAUAAAAUAAACUAACU
rnacentral:lncRNA from 1 species